rnacentral:tRNA from 1 species
GGAGAAAUGGCUCAGUUGUUAAGAGCACUGGCUGCAAUUCCAGAGGACCCGGGUUCAAAUCCCAGCACCC